rnacentral:rRNA from 1 species
AGAGUUUGAUCCUGGCUCAGGAUGAACGCUGGCGGUAUGCCUAACACAUGCAAGUCGAACGAUGUCUUCGGACAUAGUGGCGGACGGGUGAGUAACGCGUGAGAAUCUGCCUCUAGGAUGGGGAUAACGGUUGGAAACGACCGCUAACACCCAAUAUGCCGUAAGGUGAAAAAUUUAUUGCCUGGAGAGGAGCUCGCGUCUGAUUAGCUAGUUGGUGGGGUAAGAGCUCACCAAGGCUUCGAUCAGUAGCUGGUCUGAGAGGAUGAGCAGCCACACUGGGACUGAGACACGGCCCAGACUCCUACGGGAGGCAGCAGUGGGGAAUUUUCCGCAAUGGGCGAAAGCCUGACGGAGCAAUACCGCGUGAGGGAGGAAUGCCUUUGGGUUGUAAACCUCUUUUCUCAGGGAAGAAGAUCUGACGGUACCUGAGGAAUAAGUAUCGGCUAACUCCGUGCCAGCAGCCGCGGUAAUACGGAGGAUGCAAGCGUUAUCCGGAAUCAUUGGGCGUAAAGCGUCCGCAGGUGGUUUCCAAAGUCUGCUGUUAAAGACUGGAGCUCAACUCCGGAACGGCGGUGGAAACUUGGAAACUAGAGUUCGGUAGGGGUAGCAGGAAUUCCCAGUGUAGCGGUGAAAUGCGUAGAUAUUGGGAAGAACAUCGGUGGCGAAGGCGUGCUACUGGACCGUAACUGACACUCAGGGACGAAAGCUAGGGGAGCGAAAGGGAUUAGAUACCCCUGUAGUCCUAGCUGUAAACGAUGGAAACUAGGUGUGGCUUGUAUCGACCCGAGCCGUGCCGUANCUAACGCGUUAAGUUUCCCGCCUGGGGAGU